UUUAUAGACUAACUUGUGUAUUAGAGCAUUAAUCUGUGCCAAUAAUGUUGUUGCCGAUUGCCUUGGCUGCCUAAAAUAGGCAGGCGCAGGCAAGGCGGCCGCAGCCGAGCUACAAGCAAACACUGGCUUAGCCUUUACUCCGCACCUCCCCGCCUAACGAUUAUAACGGCAAGAUGAAAACUUCAGCGAUUAUUUCCCUGCUUACCUGCAUUGUGAUGAUGGUGUCAGCACAACAGCCAAUUCCUUGCUGUGCUCCACAGCAGUUUGUUCUUCAUUAUGAGCAAGUUUUAGCCACACAAACUGCGGAUAUGCCAAUGGCUAUCACAGAGGAAACAUUAGAUGCUGCUUAUGAUUUUGUGAAUGCCUUGGUAGGCAUGGACCUCACCAUCCGUCCGCUUAAUCAACCUGAAACCAAAGCGAGGCUCGUACAGAACUUCACUGCGGGUUACCAAUGGAUCAUACAAGGAGCGACUUGUAUCAAGCAAUCUUUGGCUGCUGUUACCCCACCCGCAAGAUGUGUACCAGAGGAUGCAGUGUUCGAGGGGACAUUCGAUGUCGGACUGGAGAAGUUAAAGGUCCAUACAUGGCUCAUCAAUGCCACCGCUCCUGGCCCGAUCAAGGGUACGCAGCGCUACACUGUCGCAGACUACAUGUGCACACCAUUCAGUAGCACGUUCAUCGGGACCGAGUCCAACACACAGCCACCAACAACAUUUGUCAACUCUGGCAACUACAUGAAUUUCUCCAACAAGAUAACUGAUCCAGAUCACUGGUUCAAAUUGCCAUCAUCAUGUAACAGCACCGCAUCAGAAGUGCCUGUGACUGAACGAAUGAUCAAGCUUUCAAGUGCACGUCACAUGCGAUUCUUCUAACUUCUGAAGACAUCAUGUUCACAAUCAUGAUUUAUCCUCAUAGUAGUAACCUUAAAGCCUAUCUGCACUAGUUUGGCCAAGGGGGGUUAGACCUCCCUGCAAGGUCACCAACAGGUGGUUAUCUCAU
rnacentral:lncRNA from 1 species